rnacentral:misc_RNA from 1 species
CCAGCCUCUCAGAAACCAACUUCUCCACAGGAAGGUUUGAGCUUUAUUUCGACAAUGGUGACCUCCGGCUCAGACCUCUUGCCUGGCCGACUGAGUUCAAGUAUAAUCCUUAUUUUAGUAGUGGAACAUCUGCUAGUGGUUCACAGCUUGUUUUCAAUGGAUCAUCUCAUAUCAACUUGAUCCAGACCAAUGGAACGAUUGUGCAACUCCCAUGGAAAAGUCAGAAUGUAGCAUCUAGUGUGGCUACACACUACUAUCGAGCC